rnacentral:rRNA from 1 species
CCUACGGGGGGCAGCAGUGGGGAAUUUUGGACAAUGGGCGCAAGCCUGAUCCAGCAAUGCCGCGUGCAGGAUGAAGGCCUUCGGGUUGUAAACUGCUUUUGUACGGAGCGAAACGGUCUGCUUUAAUACAGUGGGCUAAUGACGGUACCGUAAGAAUAAGCACCGGCUAACUACGUGCCAGCAGCCGCGGUAAUACGUAGGGUGCAAGCGUUAAUCGGAAUUACUGGGCGUAAAGCGUGCGCAGGCGGUUAUAUAAGACAGAUGUGAAAUCCCCGGGCUCAACCUGGGACCUGCAUUUGUGACUGUAUAGCUAGAGUACGGUAGAGGGGGAUGGAAUUCCGCGUGUAGCAGUGAAAUGCGUAGAUAUGCGGAGGAACACCGAUGGCGAAGGCAAUCCCCUGGACCUGUACUGACGCUCAUGCACGAAAGCGUGGGGAGCAAACAGGAUUAGAUACCCUGGUAGUCCACGCCCUAAACGAUGUCAACUGGUUGUUGGGUCUUCACUGACUCAGUAACGAAGCUAACGCGUGAAGUUGACCGCCUGGGGAGUACGGCCGCAAGGUUGAAACUUAAAGGAAUUGACGG